CCUACGGGGGGCUGCAGUGAGGAAUAUUGGUCAAUGGACGCAAGUCUGAACCAGCCAUGCCGCGUGCAGGAAGACGGCUCUAUGAGUUGUAAACUGCUUUUGUACUAGGGUAAACGCUUCUACGUGUAGGAGCCUGAAAGUAUAGUACGAAUAAGGAUCGGCUAACUCCGUGCCAGCAGCCGCGGUAAUACGGAGGAUCCAAGCGUUAUCCGGAUUUAUUGGGUUUAAAGGGUGCGUAGGCGGUUUGAUAAGUUAGAGGUGAAAUACCGGGGCUCAACUCCGGAACUGCCUCUAAUACUGUUGAACUAGAGAGUAGUUGCGGUAGGCGGAAUGUAUGGUGUAGCGGUGAAAUGCUUAGAGAUCAUACAGAACACCGAUUGCGAAGGCAGCUUACCAAACUAUAUCUGACGUUGAGGCACGAAAG
rnacentral:rRNA from 1 species